UACGAAGGGGGCUAGCGUUGUUCGGAAUCACUGGGCGUAAAGGGCGUGUAGGCGGUCAGGUAAGUGGGAUGUGAAAUGCCCCGGCUCACCCGGGGACCGGCAUCCCAUACUGCUUGGCUUGAGUACGGGAGAGGAUGUGGGAAUUCCUGGUGUAGCGGUGAAAUGCGUAGAUAUCAGGAGGAACACCGGUGGCGAAGGCGCACAUCUGGCCCGAUACUGACGCUGAGGCGCGAAAGCUAGGGGAGCAAACAGG
rnacentral:rRNA from 1 species